UGGGGAAUGAUUCACAAUGGGCGAAAGCCUGAUGCAGCAACGCCGCGUGAGGGACGACGGCCUUCGGGUUGUAAACCUCUUUAGCAAGGAAGAAGCGAAAGUGACAGUACUUGCAGAAAAAGCGCCGGCUAACUACGUGCCAGCAGCCGCGGUAAUACGUAGGGCGCAAGCGUUAUCCGGAAUUAUUGGGCGUAAAGAGCUCGUAGGCGGUUUGUCGCGUCUGCUGUGAAAACCCGAGGCUCAACCUCGGGCCUGCAGUGGGUACGGGCAGACUAGAGUGCGGUAGGGGAUGGGAUCGUACCUCGCGGUAGCGGUGGAAUGCGCAGAUAUCAGGAAGAACACCGAUGGCGAAGGCAGAUCUCUGGGCCGUAACUGACGCUGAGGAGCGAAA
rnacentral:rRNA from 1 species